rnacentral:rRNA from 1 species
AGCAGCCGCGGUAAUUCCAGCUCCAAUAGCGUAUAUUAAAGUUGUUGCAGUUAAAAAGCUCGUAGUUGAAUUUCGGGGUCAGUAGGUCGGUCGUGCCACUGGUAUGAACUGGUUUCACUGAUUCUUCCCUCUUGUAGAACCGUGAUGCCAUUAAUUUGGUGUUGCGGGGAAACAGGACUGUUACUUUGAAAAAAUUAGAGUGUUUAAAGCAAGCUAACGCUUGAAUACAUUAGCAUGGAAUAAUGAAAUAGGACGUCUGUCUUAUUUUGUUGGUUUCUAGGAUGGACGUAAUGAUUAAUAGGGAUAGUUGGGGGCAUUAGUAUUCAAUUGUCAGAGGUGAAAUUCUUGGAUUUAUUGAAGACUAACUACUGCGAAAGCAUUUGCCAAGGAUGUUUUCAUUAAUCAAGAACGAAAGUUAGGGGAUCGAAGACGAUCAGAUACCGUCGUAGU